rnacentral:misc_RNA from 1 species
CACUGAUAAACGGCAUCCAUGUCGUAUAUGUAAGGGUUACAUUGCAUGCAAAUCCCUUGGGCACACUUCUCCAAACAAAAGUAUUGGUGAUUUCUCUGGCAAUGGAGUUCUUGUUUCAGUUUCCCUGGUGCUCAUGCUUCUGCUACACCAAGUAAAAAAAAAAGAGCAAGCCCAAGGAAGAGGGAAAGCAGGCUUGAUGUGCUCUGCUUGCAGCUACAUCCCUUUUCACUACAGAUUUCGACCUGGGUUUCCAUUUGGAAGUACGUACAAAGAUGUAUGGUCAUCUGUGCAAAAUUGUGGUGUCUGAACUUCAUGUCUCUGAAGCACGAGCCCAACUUCAGCCAGAAACCUACAGUA